rnacentral:rRNA from 1 species
UACGUAGGGUGCAAGCGUUAAUCGGAAUUACUGGGCGUAAAGCGUGCGCAGGCGGCUUUGCAAGACAGAUGUGAAAUCCCCGGGCUUAACCUGGGAACUGCAUUUGUGACUGCAUGGCUGGAGUGCGGCAGAGGAGAGUGGAAUUCCUGGUGUAGCGGUGAAAUGCGCAGAUAUCAGGAAGAACACCCCGUGGCGAAAGCGGCUCUCUAGAACGGUACUGACGCUGAGACGCGAAAGCGUGGGGAGCGAACAGG